AUCUUGAAGCAAAAAUCGCGUGUGCGCGUGCGCGACUGCCCAUGAGUGAGACGGCCGUUGGUUUGGAAGGAGCAGAUUCAAAUUCCAGUGGAGCAACGGCAGAAAUCCGAGGAAACAUCAUAUUCGACGGGUUUCCUUCAACAACGUUACGAGUCAUCAGAGGAGGAGCCUAGUGAAUAAGUGUGAGUGUGAAGCUGUAGGCCUGGAGACCCAACUGCACGCUCAGACCUGCAAGCUCAGACCUGCACUUCUAGACCCAUCGUUUUCUCAGACAGUACCACCUGCUGUUGGGUUGGGGGAGGCGACAGCGACGGAGGCCCAACUGCACGCUCAGACCAGCACUUUCUAGCAAGCAGCAACAUCAAACAUGCAGAGUCACUGGCCAGCUGUUUGGAACCAGUAAUACAGGAAAGUCAGAGAGAUCAGAACUGCAAAUACCAGUGAAGUUACCAGACAAGGUAGUGAAAUUCCUUUUAAAUUUUGGCUUGACAUUUAGAAGACAAUAAUUAAACUUCCAGUCUUGAUAAUGAAAUAAAACAAUGAAACUUUAUUGCAAUAAACAGGCAAAUAGGACAACUCAUGUGAGAGUCUGAACGCUUCAAUACAAUCGUAUAGUUAUACCAUUCAUGACAUUUACUGCAUUGAGUUGAUAUUUUAAGUUAAAUAUUGAAUUAACAAUAAUCAUGAAUUGCAAACAAAAUAAUCUAUGUCGCAUUGACUUUAAUUCAUUGUAAUUUCACUCAUGUACAAAC